AUUCCAGCUCCAAUAGCGUAUACUAAAGUUGUUGCAGUUAAAAAGCUCGUAGUUGAAUUUCUGGUCUCGGACAGCGGUCUGCCUCAAACGAGGUACGCACCACCUGUUCAGGUCCAUCCUCGGAGAAAACAUGCCUGUGAUUCAGUUCAUGGGUAUGGGAUCUUCGUCAUUUACUGUGAGCAAAAUUUAGUGUUCAAAGCAGGCUUAUGUCGUUGAAUACAUUAGCAUGGAAUAAUAAAAUAAGACCUUGGUCUAUUUUGUUGGUUUGUACUCCAAGGUAAUGAUUAAUAGGGAUAGUUGGUGGUAUUCGUAUUCAAUUGUCAGAGGUGAAAUUCUUGGAUUUGUUAAAGGCGGACUACUGCGAAAGCAUCUGCCAUGGAUGUUUUCAUUG
rnacentral:rRNA from 1 species